AUUGAACGCUGGCGGCAGGCCUAACACAUGCAAGUCGAGCGGGGUUUUCGGACCUAGCGGCGGACGGGUGAGUAAUGCGUAGGAAGCUACCCGAUAGAGGGGGAUACCAGUUGGAAACGACUGUUAAUACCGCAUAAUGUCUACGGACCAAAGUGUGGGACCUUCGGGCCACAUGCUAUCGGAUGCGCCUACGUGGGAUUAGCUAGUUGGUGGGGUAAUGGCUCACCAAGGCGACGAUCCCUAGCUGGUUUGAGAGGAUGAUCAGCCACACUGGAAAUGAGACACGGUCCAGACUCCUACGGGAGGCAGCAGUGGGGAAUAUUGGACAAUGGGCGCAAGCCUGAUCCAGCCAUGCCGCGUGUGUGAAGAAGGCCUUCGGGUUGUAAAGCACUUUCAGUAGGGAGGAAGGAUGUUGUGUUAAUAGCACAGCAUUUUGACGUUACCUACAGAAGAAGCACCGGCUAACUCUGUGCCAGCCGCCGCAGUAACAC
rnacentral:rRNA from 1 species